AUUAGCCAGUUGGCAGGGUAAUGGCCUACCAAAGCGACGAUCAGUAGCCGACUUGAGAGAGUGACCGGCCCACAUUGGGACUGAGACACGGCCCAAACUCCUACGGAAGGCAGCAG
rnacentral:rRNA from 1 species